UAAGGAAUAUUGGUCAAUGGAGGCAACUCUGAACCAGCCAUGCCGCGUGCAGGAAGACAGCCCUCUGGGUCGUAAACUGCUUUUAUUCGGGAAUAAACCACAUUACGUGUAGUGUGCUGAAUGUACCGAAGGAAUAAGGAUCGGCUAACUCCGUGCCAGCAGCCGCGGUAAUACGGAGGAUCCAAGCGUUAUCCGGAUUUAUUGGGUUUAAAGGGUGCGUAGGCGGCUUAUUAAGUCAGGGGUGAAAGACGGUGGCUCAACCAUCGCAGUGCCCUUGAUACUGAUGAGCUUGAAUGAACUAGAGGUAGGCGGAAUGUGACAAGUAGCGGUGAAAUGCAUAGAUAUGUCACAGAACACCGAUUGCGAAGGCAGCUUACUAUGGUUUUAUUGACGCUGAGGCACGAAAGCGUGGGGAUCAAACA
rnacentral:rRNA from 1 species